rnacentral:misc_RNA from 1 species
UCUCCGUUGGUGAACCAGCGGAGGGAUCAUUACCGAGUUUACAACUCCCAAACCCCUGUGAACAUACCAUUUGUUGCCUCGGCGGUGCCUGCCUCGGCAGCCCGCCAGAGGACCCAAACCCUUGAUUUUAUACAGUAUCUUCUGAGUAAAUGAUUAAAUAAAUCAAAACUUUCAACAACGGAUCUCUUGGUUCUG